rnacentral:ncRNA from 1 species
UCCUGAGUAAUUGGGAAUCCAAAGGAAGCUUAAGGCAAAAUGUGGAUUUGACGAACAGGAACCAGAUACAAGGCCUAAGUCUGGGGGUAAGCCUGCCUUGGAAGGUGACGCCCAAUAUCCAUCCGUAACCGGACAAGGUAAAUCUGGCAAGUCCACAGGAAAGAAGGAAAG